rnacentral:rRNA from 1 species
UACGAAGGGGGCUAGCGUUGUUCGGAAUUACUGGGCGUAAAGCGUGCGCAGGCGGUGAUGUAAGACAGGUGUGAAAUCCCCGGGCUUAACCUGGGAACUGCAUUUGUGACUGCAUAGCUAGAGUACGGUAGAGGGGGAUGGAAUUCCGCGUGUAGCAGUGAAAUGCGUAGAUAUGCGGAGGAACACCGAUGGCGAAGGCAAUCCCCUGGACCUGUACUGACGCUCAUGCACGAAAGCGUGGGGAGCAAACAGG